rnacentral:rRNA from 1 species
UGCCUCAGUAACGGCGAAGUGAAGCGGCAACAGCUCAAAUUUGAAAUCUGGCUCCUUCGGGGUCCGAGUUGUAAUUUGCAGAGGAUGCGUCGGGUACGGGUCCCUACCGAGUUCCCUGGAACGGGACGCCAUAGAGGGUGAGAGCCCCGUCUGGUAGGAUACCCAGCCCAUGUGACGCUCCCUCGACGAGUCGAGUAGUUUGGGAAUGCUGCUCUAACGGGAGGUAUACUCCUUCCAAAGCUAAAUACCGGCUGGAGACCGAUAGCGCACAAGUAGAGUGAUCGAAAGAUGAAAAGCACUUUGAAAAGAGAGUCAAACAGCACGUGAAAUUGUUAAAAGGGAAGCACUCGCUACCAGACUUGGGUUUGGCGGUUCAACCGGGGCCACGCCCCGGGGCAUUCCGCCAGCUCAGGCCAGCAUCAGCUUUCCGUCGGGGGCAAAGACGUCGGGAAUGUGGCUCCCCCUCGGGGGAGUGUUAUAGCCCGGCGUGUCAUACCCUUCGGGGGGCUGAGGUACGCGCUUCUGCAAGGAUGCUGGCGUAAUGGUAGCUAGUGACCCGUCUUGAAACACGGACCAAGGAGUCAACCUUAUGUGCGAGUGCCCGGGCGUAAAACCCCAGCGCGGAAUGAAAGUGAACGUAGGUGAGAGCUUCGGCGCAUCACCGACCGAUCCUGAUGUCCUCGGACGGAUUUGAGUGAGAGCAUAUAGGGUUGGACCCGAAAGAAGAUGAACUAUGCGUGUGUAGGGUGAAGCCAGAGGAAACUCUGGUGGAGGCUCGCAGCGGUUCUGACGUGCAAAUCGAUCGUCAAACAUGCGCAUGGGGGCGAAAGACUAAU